AAGUCGUAACAAGGUUUCCGUAGGUGAACCUGCGGAAGGAUCAUUUCCGAAACAAUUUUCCCAUACAAACCAACCAUGUGAACUGUUGAUUGGCUUUACUGCGGUGUAAGAGUGGGCAAUUUAUUUUGGCCAUUCUUGGUACCGCAGGCCUUGAUGAACUACCUUGUAAGAGGUGUGAUAUAUUAUCGUUCUUUUUUUCCUUUCUUUUUUGAAAAAAGAGGAAAGACAAACACAAUAAUAUGACAACUUUUAACGGUGGAUCUCUUGGCUCGU
rnacentral:misc_RNA from 1 species